rfam:Oryza brachyantha chromosome 2, whole genome shotgun sequence.
UGCUGUGAUGAGUAUUUGCUUACUUCUGACACCUCUUGUAUGAGAAGGGCCACCCUUCCUUGAGCAGAUUCAGCAACUCUCUGAGCU